AGUACUGUACAAAAAAGUACGAUUCUUCCCCACACAGAAGGUUUGGCAUUUGUGCAGCCUCUCUCUACAAUUGAGAGAGGAAACACGGACAGACACUUCAAAUAUGAGGAAAGCAGCAUCAAGGAGAUCUCAAAGAGGGAAAAGAUGGCAGAAAAGGGAAUCACAGAAUCAAUUAGGUUGGAAAAGACCUCGAAUAGUCGAGUCCAGCCAAUGAACUAACACCACCAUGUCAACUAGACCAUGGCACUAAGUGCUACAUCCAGUCUUUUCUUAAACACUUUCAGGAUGCCAGAUUUCUCAGGAUGUGGAGUAUGUGUGGGUGCUUGGUGAAAACGGCUCACCAGAGAGCAAGUAGCCUGUGUUUGGGACAGACAACCUGCUGCUCAGAUGAUUCAGAAGAGAUUUGGCCUUCAUCCAAGGGACAGCAGUUGCAUCUUAAUUUUGUAAACCUGAGAACUGAGAUAAGCGUCUUCACAUUCUGCAUGGCUUCCGUAUGCCUGCGUUACUUGUGAUAACCACUGGGUGUCGUGAGUCUCUUUGGAUUACCGGAUACAGAGAAGGACAAAUUUAGUCCAAUCAAGGACUGCCUAUGGACUUUUUUUUCCGGGUGAAAAGGCCUUUGUCUAAUUUAUAUAGGAUUACAAAAAGGAGUCCCAAAUCCUACUUUAAAAUAAUGGUUUUUUUUAGGCAAAUGUAUGAUUCUUGAGGCUGUCCUGUGCAGGGAGAGUAGUUGGACUUUGAUGAUCCUUGUGGGCUCCUUCCAACUCAGAAUAUUCUGUGCUUCUUUACUCAUGUACCAAGAGCAACUAAUAAAAGACAGGUAUACUACAAACAACAGCCUAAUUCUCUACAUGUUUUAUUCCUGUUCCCAUUUAGUCAUUCAACUGAAUGACACCUUGUUUGGCAGAAAAACACCAAGAUGUCAGUAGAUAAUUAAAGAAAUUCUGAUAACAUAGAUGUAUAAUAUAGUAAAACUAAGGAUGAAUUAGUGAUCUCAAAUUGGUAUUUUCCUAAUUUUUGCGAAUGAUAUUUGACAUGGCUGUGUUUGAGGUUACGAUUUGGGGAAAGAUUUUGGCCUAUUAUUUUCAUCAUUUUUACAGGCAAAGGAAAAGGCACGAAUAUAUAACUUUGUAUACAAGGAUAAAAAACAUACUUCGUGCAGAAGAGAACUUGAAUCUUGAAGCUUCGGUACAGACCUGUGCUGCGGAGGAUUAAAGACCAGCCAUAUUAGUUGCACAUGGGAGGAUUACAUUUCCUACAGACUAGUCAGUAGGAGAUCAUAUGAUGUUGUAACAUUGAUACAGCCAUGUGCUGUGCCUCACAGUAUGGAUAGAUGAGCCAGGGAUAUAGACUGGACGUGGGCUUUCCAAGAAGCUCAGAUGCCACUGUGACUCAGUUGCUUUCUCUGUGGGCUCGUUAUGUUAGAUGGCUGAACUAAUCUGGUGUGUGGGGGUUCUCUUAGUAGUGGUUGAAGCUUUGCCUAACAGUAUGAUUGUGAAACGUUCAGAUACUAGAACCAUCUGAAAGACAAAUACAGAACUGUCUCGGUUUGCAGGACAAAGUAUGUUCCCCUCUUAUAGGGGAGUAUAGCAGGAUAUAUUUUUACCUUUAACACAGAAUCCUGCACUGCACUGACUAGCACAGCAAAACACUGAACAGUUUGUGUCUAGUGUGGCAGGAAUUGUGAGGACUAUAGGAGCAGAUCAAGAAAAAUCUGCUAAGUGCUGAUUUUUACACUGGACUGUGUAUAAUGUAGCCAAAUUUGAAGAAAUUUUUAUGACACUAGAAAAAGGUGCCUUGGUGAUAGUACUUCACAGAUCUUCAGACCAACUUUUAAAACUUGGUAGGUGUAGCAGCUCUUCUGAAGAAGUCUUUCAAAGAGGAUGCCAGUAUCAGUUAAAACAUGCUUUUGUUCUGGAGUCGUUUAUGGACCUUGCUGAGAUCCCUAAUUACUGUUUGCAACCUAUGGUCAGGGAGAAACUAAAAACCAAUUUUUAUUUGAAGUGGUAUAGCAGUAUGGACAGAAGAUAUAAAUUGGAUUUCUAAUCUGAUUUCUGUUGUGCUGAAUUCAUGAGGAGCUACUGAUAGCUCACCAGUCUUGAAAA